AAAUUGAAGAGUUUGAUCAUGGCUCAGAUUGAACGCUGGCGGCAGGCCUAACACAUGCAAGUCGAACGGUAACAGGAAGCAGCUUGCUGCUUUGCUGACGAGUGGCGGACGGGUGAGUAAUGUCUGGGAAACUGCCUGAUGGAGGGGGAUAACUACUGGAAACGGUGGCUAAUACCGCAUAAGUGGCUAAUACCGCAUAA
rnacentral:rRNA from 1 species